UGGGGAAUCUUGGACAAUGGGGGCAACCCUGAUCCAGCCAUGCCGCGUGAGUGAUGAAGGCCUUAGGGUCGUAAAGCUCUUUCGCCUGUGAAGAUAAUGACGGUAGCAGGUAAAGAAACCCCGGCUAACUCCGUGCCAGCAGCCGCGGUAAUACGGAGGGGGUUAGCGUUGUUCGGAAUUACUGGGCGUAAAGCCGCACGUAGGCGGACCAGAAAGUUGGGGGAUGAAAUCCCGGGGGUCUCAACCCCGGAACUGCCUCCAAAACUAUUGGUCUAGAGUUCGAGAGAGGUGAGUGGAAUUCCAAGUGUAGAGGUGAAAUUCGUAGAUAUUUGGAGGAACACCAGUGGCGAAGGCGGCUCACUGGCUCGAUACUGACGCUGAGGUGCGAAAGUGUGGGGAGCAAACAGGAUUAGAUACCCUGGUAGUCCACACCGUAAAACGAUGAAUGCCAGUCGUCGGGUAGCAUGCUAUUCGGUGACACACCUAACGGAUUAAGC
rnacentral:rRNA from 1 species